UUCCGGUUGAUCCUGCCGGAGGCCAUUGCUAUCGGAGUCCGAUUUAGCCAUGCUAGUCGCACGAGCUUAGACUCGUGGCGAAUAGCUCCGUAACACGUGGCCAAACUACCCUCUGGAGCAGGAUAACCUCGGGAAACUGAGGCUAAUCCCGCAUACGGCUCUCCGCCUUGAACGGCCUGAGCCGGAAACGCUCCGGCGCCAGAGGAUGUGGCUGCGGCCGAUUAGGUAGACGGUGGGGUAACGGCCCACCGUGCCGGUAAUCGGUACGGGUUGUGAGAGCAAGAACCCGGAGACGGUAUCUGAGACAAGAUACCGGGCCCUACGGGGCGCAGCAGGCGCGAAACCUUUACACUGCACGCCAGUGCGAUAAGGGGACCCCGAGUGCGAGGGCAUAUAGCCCUCGCUUUUGUACACCGUACUGAGGUGUACGAAUAAGGACUGGGCAAGACCGGUGCCAGCCGCCGCGGUAAUACCGGCAGUCCAAGUGAUGGCCGCUAUUAUUGGGCCUAAAGCGUCCGUAGCCGGCCAGGCAAGUUCGUCGGGAAAUCCACCUGCUCAACAGGUGGGCGUCCGGCGAAAACUGUCUGGCUAGGGACCGGAAGACCCGAGGGGUACGUCCAGGGUAGGAGUGAAAUCCUAUAAUCCUGGACGGACCACCGGUGGCGAAAGCGCCUCGGGAAGACGGAUCCGACGGUGAGGGACGAAAGCUUGGGUCACGAACCGGAUUAGAUACCCGGGUAGUCCAAGCUGUAAACGAUGCUCGCUAGGUGUGGCACAGGCUACGAGCCUGUGCUGUGCCGCAGGGAAGCCGCGAAGCGAGCCGCCUGGGAAGUACGUCUGCAAGGAUGAAACUUAAAGGAAUUGGCGGGGGAGCACUACAACCGGAGGAGCCUGCGGUUUAAUUGGAUGCAACGCCGG
rnacentral:rRNA from 1 species